UGUAAAAUGAAUGGAAGUCCUGGAAGCUUUCUGGAUCAGCACUGUUCUAAAGUUUGAACAGACUUAUGGACCAGGUCCUCCUGUGCAGCACUCAGUACACCUGAGGCAGGGGAAGACACAGCACCUGUCUGAUGUCUCUAUGAAGAAUGGGACCAGGGCCGUCCCGAGGGGGGUGCUAGGCCCGGGGCAGGAAUGAUGAAUCCGUCACUUCCAGGACCGACCCGUCACAUCCGGGACUGACCGCGCUGGAGCCCGGCACAGUUGCCCCAAUUCGCCGUACCCAAAGGACAGCUCUGACUGGGGCUAAGGGAGCCAAUUUGUUUCUGUCAUUGGCAGCAGCUUCCAGAAUUUGAUGCUAGGCAGAAUGCAGAGAAAUUCCGGACUGCUAGCCUGGGCUCUGUCCGUGUGUUCAGGUGAAUCGAUUUGGUGAACAUGACAUGAAUUCAUGAAUAUCUGUGUGUCGACAGAAACUGCAUUUUUUGGUGAAUAAACUGUUUGCCAAAAUAAUUUUGCUCAGCUCUACUUCUGGACCUCCAUUACCAUUCUGCUUUCCUACUUGGUGCUGUGCAAGGGGUAAGGACAAUAAGUUGCUCCCAGUAUAUCCUCUAUCUUUAUUAUAUAGCAUAGUACAUA